UGGACCUGAUAUCAAACAAGACUACCCGC
rnacentral:rRNA from 1 species